GACGUCGAAUAUCGACGUCAUGAACACAAAAGUUAAUCGUGUUUAUGACGUCGAAUAUCGGCGUCAUAAACACCAAAGUAGAUCGUGUUGAUGGCGUCGAAUAUCGACGUCAUAAACACCUAAGUUGAUCGUGUUUAUGACGUCGAAUAUGGAAGUCAUGAACACCAAAGUUGAUCGUGUUUAUGACGUCGAAUAUCGACGUC
rnacentral:miRNA from 1 species